rnacentral:rRNA from 1 species
UACGAAGGGGGCUAGCGUUGCUCGGAAUCACUGGGCGUAAAGGGUGCGUAGGCGGGUCUUUAAGUCAGGGGUGAAAUCCUGGAGCUCAACUCCAGAACUGCCUUUGAUACUGAAGAUCUUGAGUGCGGGAGAGGUGAGUGGAACUGCGAGUGUAGAGGUGAAAUUCGUAGAUAUUCGCAAGAACACCAGUGGCGAAGGCGGCUCACUGGCCAGAUACUGACGCUGAGGCACGAAAGCGUGGGGAGCAAACAGG